rnacentral:rRNA from 1 species
CAAACGACUCUCGGCAACGGAUAUCCCGGCUCUCGCAUCGAUGAAGAACGUAGCGAAAUGGGAUACUUGGUGUGAAUUGCAGAAUCCCGUGAACCAUCGAGUUUUUGAACGCAAGUUGCGCCCGAUGCCCUUAGGCUGAGGGCACGUCUGCCUGGGUGUCACGU